GGUAAAGGACACCUGCACAAUUAGAUAAGAUUGUACUCACAGUGUCGUUGUUUUUAUGGACAGAGGAAGAUGAAAUAUCUGGCACGAAUAUUGGUUCUGGCUAUUUGCCUUGAGAUUUGUAAAACGCAAUGCUAAGUUCAAUCAAGCGCAGGGAAGAAGUUCCUCAUAGCGAUUGCAGAAUUAUACCACAUUGAUUACGUUGACAAGAUUUUUGUGAACAUAGGCGCCUCAGCUGAUGGUACAGCACCAUUUACGUCCCCGUAUCUCAAGAUUAGCCAAUCACAUGCUCUCACGAAAGGUGUAACAACCGUCACCUUUAAUAACAGUAUCAUAUCACAGGCCUUAGGCAAAGGCAACAAAGGGAUCGAGCUAACUUCAGAUGUAGAUAUCACUGUUCAUGUGUUUUUCAAUGGAGGUUACGGCCAGACAGACGGAUAUUUAGCUUUACCGACACAAAACCCUAUGCCAAUGCAAUUUAUGUUUUCGAGUGUUUCUGCAUACACACAAGGUCUUAUUGCAAGUAGCAUGGAUGAUGUCAGGAUAGACAUACAUUCUAACAACAAUAUAUUCAGUGUUGAUUUGGAUAAGUAUCAAACGUACCAAUUCAGACUAAACAACUCUGGCUUUGACCAACUAGUGUACUCAAACGGAAGUGUAACGGCUCUGUAUGAAGAAAACUUACUUUAUAUUAAUUCAACUAAUGACUCGGAUCUUGCCUUCGAACAACUACAACCCAUAAAGUCAUGGGGAACUACGUUUAUUAUUCCUUCGCUCAUUGGCAAAAGUAACAAUGUUUUCCGCAUCACAACAGGCAAUUACUCUGUUCGCAUUCUUAUUAACAAUGGCACACACCAUCAACGCAGCGAAUAUAUACUCCCUUUUAACUUUAAGGACAUUUAUUUCAAGACUUCAAGCAUGUUCUUACAGUCAGACAAACCAGUCCAAGUUGUCCAGUUUUGUACAAGUUAUGUAAACGGUAAUACUGGCGAUCCAUUUAUAACUGUGGUACCACCUCUGACCAGUUUUCUAACGGGGUAUAUAUUCAAGCCAAUGGACGGUUUGAACACAUUUAAUCACUAUGUGACACUAACGGUUGAAUCGAAAUAUGCUUCUGGCCUUUUACUUAAUGAUAAAUCAUUAUCUAUACAAAGAGCAGAGCCAUUGUCAACUCAAGCUGGAUCGUAUAAAAUACUUACGCUUGUGGUGAGCACAACGACCAAUAUACUCUGUCACGUUGGAGGACACGAGUUCGGUGCAUUACUGUAUGGAUACUACAGUGCUACAGCGUACGGAUAUCCUCUUGGAAUGAAACUUUCGGCAGACUAUCGGGUGGAAGACACAGAAGAUCUUCUAAAAACAGAAGACGCACAAUCGAACAUCUCGGAAGAGAUCUUCUUAUUCCGGCAGAUCUACCGUGGCCCAAACGAACGGGGCAAACGUGAUUCAAUGCAUAUCAUAUCUUUGAAUACUGCGAACAAAGAAUAAUAACUGCCAGACUGCCACAGUUACACAUUUGGCAAGCACCCCGACAACAAGCACACAGACCAGUGAAGUGGUCAGAAAGGGUAUUUCAACAUACAUGUAAUAUUUGCACGUUUUUAUUUAUUUUGAACAUACGCGAAAUGUUAUCUCUAUCUCACGAAAAAUUGUGUAAUAAUGGAAAUAAAUGCACUAAUGCUAUAUGAUGAAAAACCAAAAUGGCCUCAGAAUGGACUAUGUUUAGGAAUGUCCGCUAAACGUUGAUGUGAACACUUUCAUACAAUAUUUUAAGCAACGGUUGAUAGAUAUACUUUUGUACAAGACUCAGUUUAAUGUUUAUCUUCUCAAUAUUGCAAAACAAUGGAUGGUAGACCUUAACUGUUAUUUGUUAUUUUCUUGAACAUACAUAUUGUUUGCUAUUUUGUAUCUACUUUAAAAAUACAUAUUUUUAUCAUUAUCUAUUUUGAACAUGCUUUGAGUGUUAUUUGUGCAUAUAGUAUAUAUUUCAUAUCACGUGUGUCAAUUAUGAAACCUCUGUUUUAUGUGUCUGUCUUGUGCUAAUUGUGGAAGGCGUAUAAUGAUAGUUCCACUAUGGAAAAUGUACUUAGGGACUUCUCCAUCAUCAACAAAAGUUAAAUAGGCAUCUUGUUUGUCUCUGUUUUGAACUGGACAUAUUGUUACCCUGUACUUCUUCUACAAGUCAUUAUAUAUUACCAUGCUGUUAUUAUUUCAAAGAAGUAAAAUAUCAACAGAAAUUAGAUAAAUAUGAUUUUUCUUUGAAUUGUGAGCUAAAUGACAGAUUUUUUUUUUAAUGUAGUGUGUAGCGUAGUUGUCACAUUAUAAAAUAUAUCUCUUAUAAUUCUAAAUUUAAUUACCAUAUACAUUUUGCAUGUUGUUUUUAACAGUACAUUAAACAUAAAUUGUCUUCUUUUAAUGUAUAUGUUAUCAUGGACUAACAUGCGUUGGUUUAUCAUUUAGAAUAAACAUAUUGUGUUAUUUGUACCUUUUUGCGAACAUGCAGUGUGUGUUUUUGUGCCUUUCAUUGACAUACAUUAUGUGAUGUUUGUGCCUUUGAUAUAUUGUGUACCACUUGUGUUGAACAUACAUUCUAAUGAACAUUUACCAUGUGUUGUUUAUACUUUUUAACUAUAUGCAUGUUUCAGUAUUUAAGAUAUCUCGUAACGGCCAGGUUAAAGAUUGUCUGUAUGUUUUUUUGAUAAGUCUGAUAAACUUGGAAUGUUCGUUGACUACUGUGAGUUAUCUUUUCAGGUCCAGUAUGCAUGUCUUGUUCAGAUAUGGUGCAUGUAGAACUAUGUGACCAUGUAGAACACUGCAGCUACGGAGAGGUUUGUUUCCUGGAGAAAUACAUCCAGAUGGAAAAUGAAAUACGUUUUAAAAGUGGCUGUAAACUGGCGC